rnacentral:lncRNA from 1 species
ACACAAAAAGCCAGGUGUGACCACGUGCCCCAACCUGUAGCCCUACUUAUGGGAUUGGGGAAAUAGAGAUAGGAGGGUCCCUAAGGCUUUCCAGCUACCAAUUUAGCUUCAGGUUCAGUGAGAAGAGAGAGCCUGUUUGAAAGGAAUGAGGUAGAAAGUGAUAGAGCAGAGCAUCAAGUAUCCCCUUUGGCAUCUUUAGCAUAUGCGUGUGAUAGCGCACGCACAUACAACACACACACACACACACACACACACACACACACACACACACACACACGGUUCCUGGGUUCGGAUGUGCCCUGGUGUCUCCAGGAUAUCUAGGAUAUAAUUUGAAUGACACUGUGCUCUGUAAUCUACAUGGUUCCUUCUGGCCCUUCUCAUUCUAAUAUGUGGAAAGGUGAUUUAUUAUAUCCAAGGCACCCCUUAGAAUUUAAAUGAUACAUCUCCUUUCAUGGUUUUGGAAUAACCAGGAUUCUAACUACAAUAUUUCAUUCCAGGAUAUCAACUAAAAGACCACCUACCCGCCCAAUAAGAAGCAGAAAAAUAAAGGAAGGUGGCACCACCAUCCGUCCUACUCAAAGUGUCACUACCAGUCACCAGUGGUUUUGUGAUAAGCUUAUAGACCUUAGUCACACCACUGAAUCACCUGUCGUAAAGACCACUCCUGGUAACAACAAACAAAGUUCAACUGAUCCUAAGAUAUCUCACCAAGGUCCUCAGGCACCUGCGGACCACAAGAAAAGAGUCAAAGCUGUCUCUGCCCCUUUAACCGAGGUUUUCUCCCACCUCCACAUAGCUGGAAGAGCAACUAAUCUUGAACAUCCCUUUGCUUCCAGCUAUUCCAGACUGGCAUUUGGAGGAGAGGUAGAAGACAGUGAUGUGUAAAUCCUGUGGGGCCUUGAAGAUUGAUCGUCUUCAGUCUAUUAAAACUCCCAAGGCCAAGACUCAAAAUUGUCUCCUUUAUACUUGAACCUAGCAAAAGAAAUACCUGUCCAAGAAAAAAAGGAAAACAACAAACAAAAACCCAUCUGACGGUCACCGUGAGAAAAUGUUAAUAUCACUAGAGUUUUAAUUAAAAAAAAAGUUUCUGUUUUCCUUG